rnacentral:lncRNA from 1 species
CAGAUACAUUAUGAUACAACUGGUCCUGAGAUUUGGGAAGAUACACUUGGGAACGUUGAUAUCUUUGUGAUGGGAAUUGGCAGUGGAGGCACUGUCUCUGGUGUUGGCCAAUACCUUAAAUUUAAAAACCCAAAUGUCAAGGUAUUUGAAAUCUUGUUAGUAUAAAAAAGAGAAUGUGUUUGAUCAUUGAUGUCUUGCUAAUGGUAGAUAUAUGGAGUGGAGCCUGCUGAAAGCAACAUACUCAACGGUGGCAAGCCAGGUGCAUUUUAUUUGUUUAUCCUCUUUGAUUCCUUGUGGUCUAAAUCAAUGUAAGAUUCUAGUAUAUGCGGUUGCUGAUGGUUAGAGCUUUGAACUUUGGGUUAGGUCCACAUGCUAUCACAGGGAAUGGGGUUGGAUUUAAACCGGAUAUCUUGGAUAUGGAUGUUAUGGAGAGCGUUCUUGAGGUAAUGUUACUGAUAAGCUUCCAUGUAUUUGUGUUCUAACAACUUGUAAAAUGCUUAUGUGUUUUGAGUUAUACGUGCAGGUUAGUAGUGAGGAUGCUAUAAAAAUGGCUAGAGAAUUGGCAUUAAAAGAAGGUCUCAUGGUGAGUUUUCUUUUUGGAGAUCGUAGAGAUAACUGGUUUGUUUUGCUGGUGCUGACUAUGGAAACACUAACUUGUAGGUUGGGAUAUCAUCGGGGGCUAACACCGUGGCAGCAAUUAGACUGGCGAAAAUGCCAGAGAACAAAGGCAAACUCAUUGUGGUAAGAGAGGAGACAAAGAAACAACUGUUCUUGAGUCUUUUUUAUGAUCAGUGUCAUGGUUUGACCGGACUUUUGGAAUGUGUUUUGUGUUUGUAUUGAACAGACGAUUCAUGCGAGCUUUGGGGAGAGAUAUCUGUCGUCUAUUCUGUUUGAUGAGCUGAGGAAAGAAGCAGAAGCAAUGAAGCCAGUUUCAGUUGACUGAUUUGGUUUUGGUUGAUGAAGAAAAGGUUCUUUACUAUUAUAUCUUAUCCAGGGAGCAAAAUACUGUGACACAGCCUAUAAAAGAAUGUAAUGGACAAUAUUUGUUUGUUUUAUAUUGAUGUUGGAUAUUGCAAGAAUAAUUUAUGUUAAAUGUGUGAUAUUGGAAAUAAAAGCAUUUUGUGGCUCAGAUAGAGAUUGUUGUGCUGGAAGACUGUGGAUAUGUGUUCAUCUUCAUUUAAGUGUAGAGCUUGGGAGACUGUGAAUGUGUGUUCGAAAAAAAAUUCUGGUAAAUAUGAUUUCUGUUACGAAAGACAGCUAAGAAAGCCAGCAGCCAGCCGUUUAUGUUGAAAAAUAUAAAAAAUGUGGAGCCCGCUGCACUAUUUGCACAGUGAAUUUCUUUGAACAUUUACGUUCGUUGUAUUACGCAUCUCAAAACCUCAACCUUCUCUUCUCUCUCUGAUAAAAUAUUUCUAUCAGUGUUAAAGUUUCUACGGGUAUAAAAUUUCGCCCUUAUCUAAAUUCCUGCGAAACAAUAAAAUACCAGUUCUUUUUAUAACACGUUAUCAGCACGAUCACUCUGCGAUUCGGUAAAAUUUAUUUGUAUCAUUUAUACUCUGUUAUAAUGGUCGGUAUACCGCCUCUACUAUUAUUUAUAUCAUGUUAUAAUGGCCGGAAUACCGCCUAUAUUAUUUACUAGUAAUUUAAUUUAUUUAUUGGUCGGCCGAGCCGCCUUAUAUUCUGUUUAUUAUUUAUUGGUCGGCCGAGCCGCCUUAUAUUCUGUUUAUUAUUUAUUGGUCGGCCGAGCCGCCUUAUAUUCUGUUUAUUAUUUAUUGGUCGGCCGAGCCGCCUUAUAUUCUGUUUAUUAUUUAUUGGUCGGCCGAGCAAAAUAUUUAAUUUAAUUAAACCCAAAAUUCACAAUUUUAAAAUCAUUUGAGUAAAAUAUACUAUACAAUUAAAUUAAAUUACAUUAUUAAAAUUUAACACUUCCAUAUUUUAUUUUAAAAUCUCACCACCAUAUAUUUAAAAUAUUGAGAAAUCUAUUACCAGAUAAUUAAAUAUAAUAGGAAUAAGAAAAAAAUCAAAAAAUAAAAAGUGAUUCAGAUGUUUAGGAAAAUAUUAAUGUUAUUUUCAGAUAUAUAUUUACAAGAUCAGAAGUCAAUCACAACAUCCAAUAAGAAUUCAGUUCAAACAAAACCAUUCUAUUACCUAACGUAAAUGAUAACACCUACACUUUUGUCUCUACCUAUUAUUUUAUCGGGUUGAAUAGUAGCAUAUACACUUAACCAAGAAGAUUAUACAAUGUAUUUGCCUUAGAGCAUGAUUAACCCUACAACCCCAUUAGAGUCUCUUAAUGAUUUUUUUAAUAAUAAUUGUUGGUUAAGAACUUAGUCAAGAGACAUCAACAUUUUUCUGUUCCAAUGCUAGUCUCUUAAAUUAGGGUUCUUAAAAAAAUAUUAUCAAACAUUUAUCCCUAGAAGAAAACACAACCCAGCAGUUAAAAAGAAAAAGCAGUAUUGAAAUUUUACCAGUAUAUGCGUUCAUCUUUGCCAAGUUCACACCUAGUAAUGUCAGAUUCUGUCGCAAGGAUUCCUAUAAAAACAAAACAGGUUAGAUUUAUGAGUGGCAAACAGAAACAAAGAAGAAAUGAGAGGAGAGCACAAGAGAAGACCUGUAAUUGUUGUUUCAACCUCUAGUUCACGGUUUUGUUCUGCAUAAAUAUCAACCAUUUAAGUAACAAAACUUGCUCAUCAGCUUCAGCAGAAAACUAAAAACCCAUUCAAGCACCGAGAGAAGACGGGAUGACGUACCAUUAUCCCCUGGUCAGGAAGUUAAGUCAUUGAUGAGGACAUGAUUUAUAGCAGAAGGGAAAAGACCCGUGCUUUCAUGAAUUUUCGUGGUAAUCUUUGUCAGCCAAGAAGGCACUGAAACAAUGCAAAGGGUCUACAUAACUCUUUUGAGUAUCUAGAAUUAAAAUUAUUAAACGGAUGUUUUUCUAAUUAUUACUUACACUCUUGUGGAACAAGACCCUUUUCAUGGACCAUACCACCUGCAAAAUGAACAAAAGCUCAAGACUUUAAUUUUUUUUCUUCAAAACACAAUGUAAUGAAAACGAAGUGUAUGAAAGUCUUCUAACAGCACACCCCAGUUCUGUAAUCUUCUGUUCUUUAACGUCUUCCACUUGAAACCAGAUGCUCCAUAUAUCUUUAAACAUGACAGUAAAAUGGGUAAGAGAGGAACACAAAAUCAACAAUGUCUCAAAUGCAAAAGAUGUGGUGGAGGAGAUUACACGAUUGAGGAGCUGAGUUUGCUCUUGGUCAGUGAUGAAACCAGGAAUGUAGAAGACUGUAGGGGUAAGACCUACCCUGAAGCUCUCUAGCCCUAUGACUGUAUCAAGAAUCAAAUUUGGUUUUGUAAUUGAAAACAAUCUUAUUGAAUCCUCUAUCAAGAAAGGGACUUUAAAGUUUAAACCAAGCACAAGCGGAAGAGUUCCAACUACAGAUCCAAACUAACAUACUGGCAAAGCUAUUACUCUGUCUCAGCUAUGGGGAGCAAAAACAAUCAUAUUUUAAAGGAAUCAGAGUCUUUUUCAACUGAUUCUUCUGUAAUAUACUUAAACCCAAGCAUAAAGAAAAAAGAAUAUGAAUGAAUCUAACCAGAAACUGCAAUAGGAAUCUCUUUGCUUCUCUGGUUCUGUUUCUUCUUCGUUUCCACUUAGCGUUUCCAUGGCGGAUCAACCCAGAAACUGCAAUAGGAUUCGAUCAAAGAGAUUCUGGGAGAAUAAAGGCCGACGAAUUUCUUCUGCGUCGCGGAGAGAUUAAGAGACGUCGCUUGUGUCGCUAGAUUAAGAGACGUCGCUUAAGGUAAUUCAUUUUUUCUUUUAUUUUUAAUCAUAAAUAAACCUAAAUACCCCCAUAAGAGACGCCGAUAAUCAUGGUCUUAUUCCUUCGGAUUCAGAUCGAUUUAUAUGAUUGUUUGAUUUCUCCACCUUUAAAAAUUAAUAGUUGUGUUUAUGUUUCUAUACAUUCACGUCAUCAAUUAAAAGGGAAAUAUAUAAUAUACAUUAAAACAUUUGUAAAAAAUAUUUUUAUGUUUGUAUGUUAUGCCAGAAAAAAAUUAAUAAAACCCAAAAAUCACUAUUAUAAAAUAAUAUGAGUAAAAUAUAUACAACUAAAUUAAUUUAUUAAAACCUAACAUUUCCACAUUGUAAGAACUCACCACCAUUUAUUUGAAAUAUUGAAAACUGUACAAGAUAAUUACAAUUUUUACUAAGAAGAAACAAACGGCGAUUCAAAUGUUUAGGAAAACGAGGAUCAUUCGAUCAUUCAUACUUUUCUGUAAAACAAUACUAAUAAUUCAGCUAUGUAAGAAAAUAAUUGUACAUUUAAUUAUGAUUACGAUAGUAUUAAGAAAAUGUUAAUACUCUUUCGAAAAGUAUAUGGAAGAUAAGAAGUGAAUCUUAACAUCCAAUAAGAAUUCAGUGCAAAAAAAAAAAAUCAUUGUAUUAGUAUUACCUAACGUAAAUGAUAACGCCUACACUUUUGUCUCUACCUAUUUUUAUAUGUUUUUUGGUCGAACAUAUCGCAUUUAAAUAGUAGCAUUAUACACUAACCACUAGAGGGAGAUAAUACAAUUUAUUUGUCUUUAUCCUCGGAUUCAGAGCCAUUUAUAUGAUUGGUUUGCUUCUCCACCUUUCACUCAUCUUCUCCUACUCUGCUCUCUCUUAUAACAAGCAAAGACUUGUGGCUUUCUCUCUCCCUCUCUCUCUUCGUUUUGCUCUGUUUUUCAACAAUGGCUACUAUCUGGAGGAGGUUGCUGAAGACAGAGACGAUCCCCCGCAUCAGCCAAAGCACGAGGAAGCUCUUCUCCACCGACGGAUCUUCUUCUUUCGCCGACAGACUCAGAAACCUUCCCAAAGAGUUCCCUGCAACUCAGGCCAAACGCGAUGCUUCUCUGGUAAAUGAAAAAAAAAAAACUUUGUUUCUUGGGCAUCUUGAAAAUGUUAUCUUCUUCCGAUGUUGACUGAUCGAUCAAAUCUGUCUGUGUUGUAGCUCAUUGGAAGAACCCCACUCGUGUUCCUCAACAGAGUCACUGAAGGCUGUGGAGCUUAUAUUGCUGCCAAGCAAGAACAUUUCCAGCCUACUUGUAGCGUCAAAGACAGGUGACGACUGUGAACUCAUAAUCUUAGGACAUAAUCAGUCCCAAAAAGCGUUGACUUUUGUUUGGGUUUUGUUGGCUCCAGACCAGCUUUAGCUAUGGUUGCAGAUGCAGAGAAGAAAAACCUUAUCACUCCUGGAAAAGUAAUCCUCUUUUUUUUACUUACUUUAAUUAUUAGAUACCGGUUUAAUGUUAACCAUUCGGUUUGGUUUCCUUUUGCUUAACCGAUGUAAUACAAAUUUGUUGAACCAUGUAGCAAACUUUGAUUAACACAUUAAUUCAAUAAAUUUCAUAUACUUAAUCUCAAAUUAAUGGUGAAUUAACUCACUGAAGUGAUGUGUUUAUGUUUAUCAGACAACAUUGAUAGAGCCAACUUCAGGAAACAUGGGAAUAAGUAUGGCUUUCAUGGCGGCUCUGAAAGGGUACAAGAUUAUAAUGACAAUGCCUUCUUACACAAGUUUGGAGAGGAGAGUGACUAUGAGGUCCUUUGGUGCUGAGCUUGUCCUCACUGAUCCAACCAAAGGAAUGGGUGGAACCGUUAAGAAAGCUUAUGAUCUCCUUGAGAGUACUCCUGAUGCUCAUAUGUUGCAACAGUUUGCUAAUCCAGCAAACACUCAGGUACUUAAAAGAGUUCUGAUAGAUCCCUAGGUCAUGUAGUGUUAGAUAGAGAGAGAGGUGAAUGAUGGUUGGAAUAUUUGGUGCAGAUACAUUAUGAUACAACUGGUCCUGAGAUUUGGGAAGAUACACUUGGGAACGUUGAUAUCUUUGUGAUGGGAAUUGGCAGUGGAGGCACUGUCUCUGGUGUUGGCCAAUACCUUAAAUUUAAAAACCCAAAUGUCAAGGUAUUUGAAAUCUUGUUAGUAUAAAAAAGAGAAUGUGUUUGAUCAUUGAUGUCUUGCUAAUGGUAGAUAUAUGGAGUGGAGCC